GGCAGGUAUGUUGGCAUGAUUACAGAUACCACUGAUCGUCCCAUUUUGCUCUCGCUCCACAACAGGAUAGAUGGCAUUAGAUUUCAACCGAGUAUACUUCUCGAAUUUUUUAAUUUCCUUUAGCAGCACAUUUUUCAGCUUCUCAGUCUCCUCAUGUUCCCAGUUAUCAACAACAAACACAUCCAAGGAGUAGCCAUCCAUUGUGGAAAAGGCA
rnacentral:misc_RNA from 1 species